GUAGUCCAUGCCGUAAACGAUGAUUACUAGGUGUGGGGGGAUAGACCCCCUCCGUGCCGCAGUUAACACAAUAAGUAAUCCACCUGGGGAGUACGACCGCAAGGUUGAAACUCAAAGGAAUUGACGGGGGCCCGCACAAGCAGUGGAGUAUGUGGUUUAAUUCGACGCAACGCGAAGAACCUUACCAGGUCUUGACAUCCCGUGCAUAGCAUAGAGAUAUGUGAAAUCCUUCGGGACACGGAGACAGGUGGUGCAUGGUUGUCGUCAGCUCGUGUCGUGAGAUGUUGGGUUAAGUCCCGCAACGAGCGCAACCCUUAUCGUUAGUUACUACGCAAGAGGACUCUAGCGAGACUGCCGUUGACAAAACGGAGGAAGGUGGGGAUGACGUCAAAUCAUCAUGCCCUUUAUGACCUGGGCCACACACGUACUACAAUGGCUAUCAACAGAGAGAAGCGAAGCCGCGAGGUGGAGCAAACCUCAGAAAAAUAGUCUCAGUUCGGAUCGCAGGCUGCAACCCGCCUGCGUGAAGCCGGAAUUGCUAGUAAUCGCGGAUCAGCAUGCCGCGGUGAAUACGUUCCCGGGCCUUGUACACACCGCCCGUCACACCAUGAGAGCCGGGGGGACCCGAAGUCCGUAGCCUAACCGCAAGGAGGGCGCGGCCGAAGGUAAAACUGGUGAUUGGGGUGAAGUCGUAACAAGGUAGCCGUAUCGGAAGGUGCGGCUGGAUCACCUC
rnacentral:rRNA from 1 species